GUGCUCACUUCGGCAGCACAUAUACUAAACUUGUGAAUGAUACAGAGAAGAUUAGCAUGGUCCCUGCGCAAGGAUACAAACUUGUGAAAAAGGGAGAGCUGUCUU